AUGUUGGUCUACGAGUUUGUCUCCCAUGGUACUCUAUCCCAGUUCCUUCACGGUGCUGAUCGUAGAUUGCCAAUUCCCCUUGCUAUUCGCCUGAAGAUUGCUACACAGUCAGCAGAAGCUCUAGCUUACUUACAUUCAUCCACAUCUCGCACAACCCUACAUGGUGAUGUCAAGUCUGCCAACAUUCUCUUGGAUGACAAGCUCAAUGCAAAGGUUGCUGAUUUCGGAGCAUCAGCACUUAAGUCAAUGGAUGAAAGUGAGUUCAUCAUGUUUGUCCAUGGAACACUGGGAUACCUUGACACUGAGAGCUUUAUCAGCCAUCUUCUCACUGAGAAAAGCGAUGUAUACAGUUUCGGAGUUGUUCUUCUCGAGCUAAUGACACGAAAGAGGGCUAUAUAUACCGACAACUUUAAUGGAAAGCACUCACUGUCAUAUAGUUUUCCCUUGAUGUUUCAUCGGAAGACGCACCACGUUAUGCUGGACUCUGAAAUUACAGAUGACGCGGGUAUGGUGGUCCUUGGGAACAUGGGUGAACUCGCAGUUCACUGCCUUAGCCAGAGGGGAGAUGACAGGCCAACAAUGAAGGAAGUUGCAGAGAGACUAGAUAUGAUGAGGAGACUCUAUUCGCACGCCACCAGUGCUUGUGAACAUAAUUGCUUUGCACGUAGUUAUGGAGCAUCACCUUCAGUGAUUGUCCCUUUGAACGAGACAACACGUGGGACUAUCGAUAUGCCUGAGCUGGUUGAAGAUCUUGCAAGAUGA
rnacentral:rRNA from 1 species